CAGGAGGCAGAAGCAGGCGAGCAUGAGAGCCGUACAUCAAAUACCUGAAUUUGAGAAACUUAAGAAAAUUUUGCCGCGAAACCUUUUGACGACGUGUUAGUGAGAAAGAUGACAGCUUCCUAUUUCAGCUAUUCUGAACUCUUAAGCAACACUUUGCACUGCGCAGAAAGAAAGAGUUCAAGAGUGGGAAGAUUGCAAUAUGUGUAGAAACUGCUAACAGUGUAAAGGAGGGAAGAUACGCCAACUAACCGAGCCAGCCUGACACAUGGCUGUUCACAGUUCAGUUAAUGGGACAACAGCCAUCCCAUGGAGGAGCAGCAGGAGGAAACUGUCACUGCUGGAUCAGCUGAAAGGCUGCCAGGAGGCCUGGUGCCCUGGGGGAGCCUGGGACAGAGAGGGGGCUCACGCUGCUAUCUGUGGGACACCUGCUGGGAGUUUCCUGGUUGUGCGGGACUCUGUGACGUCUCAGCCAAGCCUGCUGUGUGUGUCUGCCGGAGCGCAGAAUGAGGAAGUCUUUGAUUAUAAUAUCAAAUGCACAGGAGCAGUUUUCCAACUGUCUGAGUCUCAUCUGUCUUUCUCUGACUUGACUCAGCUGGUGCUCUUCUACUCUCUGACCAGGGAUGUGCUGGAUGUUUGUCUCCACAUUCCUCGCUGGAUCUACAGCGUAACAGACACAAAAAAAGAGCGUCUUUCACAGCUUGAACCUAAAACUUGGCUUUCCACCACCGCCUGAUCAACAGACUGAUCAAAUGUCCCAAAGGGAACCAAGCAGCAUGAUGUGCUCCAUACAGCUGACGUCCACAAACGGGGCCCUGUGUAUCAUCAAUCCCCUCUACCUCCGUGAACACGGAGACGAGUGGCUGACCCACAGGCCAGCUGCCGCACAGCCGUCAAAUUUCAGACGCCUCAGCACCACCCGGCAAUGGGCAGGCGCAGGGUUACAAAGUAAACGAGCCAUCUCUUUGGAGCAAGAAACCCCUGCUCCCAAUACAGAGAGCUCAGGUCAGUGCACCAACUUCAGAUUUCACCCAAUAUAAAAAAAAGCUUCCUCAGUUCUGAACAGCAAUGUUAGACAGUGUAGUUUCAUUUCCCCUCACAGUUUUGGAAAACAAUGCUUCUAUCUAUCCAGAUCAGGAGAUGCUUUGAACUUAAAGUUCCUCUCCUUGCACUGUUUAAACCCCUAAAAACCUUUUCUUCCCUUUAUAAAAAAUAAGCCUAC
ensembl:lncRNA